rnacentral:lncRNA from 12 species
CAGGAAUCAUAACAACAAACAUACAUCUUUCUGCUGAGAUUUCCACCUGCUGAUAUGUGAAAAGGGACUGUUUGGUCUUACUGGAAGUACAGCUGUGGAUAAUGGUGAUUUGUUUACUAAACAUCCCUCUCAGCAAGGAAUUUAAAUUCUUUGCUUCUUGAUAAUGAGACACAGCUCCUGGCAAAUGAGCUUUUUCUUCAGAAGAAAAGACUUGAAUUUUAACAUGAAAAUUAAUUUGCACCUAGAGGAAAAGUAACAGAGUUAGCGAAACCAGCAAUGGAACCACCACCCACAUGAAGGGUACAUGCAUGAGCCACCAAGAAAAGAUAAAGGAAAAAGCAGGUCUACUCACCCUGCUUCCUUUGGACAAACUGCUUCUGUUCAGAAGAAAAGUGUGUGAAUGGCAUAUCAUGAAAUGACUGACUUCAGCCUGGAACCCUGAGCUACCAAAAAUAAGUAUACAGACCCCGUGCCCCAGCCAGAACAAGGUGACUGCUGAUGACAUGCCAAGAGAACUCCAGAUACAGAUGUUCAUGCCCAGCAGCAACACCAGCUGUUUAGAAAAUGACAUCUUUGCCUCUUUGGACCGGGCAAAAUAUGUUGUACAACGAUCAAGGACAUGAAAUAAAUAUAUUUACAGUGAA